UUUGGGAAAUGAUGAUGAAAGAUAUCGAUAUCUUAUCAUAGGUGCAGUUCUCUGCGCUCUGCUGAGUAAAAUCUUAUUUGCACGUCAGUCUGAUCCCAAA